rnacentral:rRNA from 1 species
AACGCUGGCGGCGUGCUUAACACAUGCAAGUCGAGCGGUAAGGCCCUUCGGGGGUACACGAGCGGCGAACGGGUGAGUAACACGUGAGCAAUCUGCCCUUCACUUUGGGAUAACUCUGGGAAACGAGAGCUAAUACCGAAUACGACCACUUCAGGCAUCUGAUGGUGGUGGAAAGUUCCGGCGGUGAAGGAUGAGCUCGCGGCCUAUCAGCUAGUUGGUGGAGUAACGGCCCACCAAGGCUUCGACGGGUAGCCGGCCUGAGAGGGUGACCGGCCACACUGGGACUGAGACACGGCCCAGACUCCUACGGGAGGCAGCAGUGGGGAAUAUUGGACAAUGGGCGAAAGCCUGAUCCAGCAACGCCGCGUGAGGGAUGACGGCCUUCGGGUUGUAAACCUCUUUCAGUAGGGACGAAGCGCAAGUGACGGUACCUACAGAAGAAGCACCGGCCAACUACGUG